rnacentral:rRNA from 1 species
AUUGAACGCUGGCGGCAGGCCUAACACCUGCAAGUCGAACGAGUGGCGGACGGGUGUGUAAUUUCUGGGACACUGCCUGAUGGAGGGGGAUAACUACUGGAAACGGUAGCUAUUACCGCAUACCAUCAGAUGUUCCCAGAUGGGAUUAGCUAGUUGGUGGGGUAGCGGCCCACCAAGGGGCCGAUCCCUAGCUGGUCUGAGAGGAUGACAAGCUACACUGGAACUGAGACACGGUCCAGACUCCUACGGGAGGCAGCAGUGGAGAAUAUUGCACAAUGGGAGCAAGCCUGAUGCAGCCAUGCCGCGUGUAUGAAGAAGGCCUUCGGGUUGUAAAGUACUUUCAGCGGGGAGGCGUUACCCGCAGAAGAAGCACCGGCUAACUCCGUGCCAGCAGCCGCGGUAAUAC